CCUACGGGAGGCAGCAGUAGGGAAUUUUCGUCAAUGGGCGCAAGCCUGAACGAGCAAUGCCGCGUGAACGAGGAAGGUCUUCGGAUCGUAAAGUUCUGUUGAAGGGGAAAAAGAUCGGAGAGAGGAAAUGGUCUCCGAUUGAUAUUACCCUUCGAGGAAGUCACGGCUAACUACGUGCCAGCAGCCGCGGUAAUACGUAGGUGGCGAGCGUUAUCCUGAAUGAUUGGGCGAAAGGGGUGCGUAGGCGGCCUGCUAAGCCUGGGGUGAAAGGUACCGGCUCACCCGGUACAGGCUCUGGAAACUGGCGGGCUAGAGAGCAGGAGAGGGCGGUGGAACUCCAUGUGUAGCGGUAAAAUGCGUAGAUAUAUGGAAGAACACCAGUGGCGAAGGCGGCCGCCUGGCCUGUUACUGACGCUGAGGCACGAAAGCGUGGGGAGCAAAUAGGAUUAGAUACCCUGGUAGUC
rnacentral:rRNA from 1 species